GGGUACUAGGCUAAAAUUCAAAGACACAAAAGAGACUUGAAAGAAACCGCGGGAGUUGAAUUUACAAAAGAUUUCAUUCACUUCAACAACAACUCUAUAGCAAUUAUUUUCUCUUCUCCUUUCUCUUUUUUUUCUUUCUUUUUUUUCUUUUUCGGAAGGAGUAUGCAUUGACAUGGAUUGAAAUCUUUCUAUUUUUUUUGUUUUCUAUUUUCUCUUUCUCUUUUUCUUUUCUUUUUCUUCCAACUUCUGAAAUAUUACAAACAUAAUUAUUCAACUCCAAACAAAACACUUUCAACCCUUUGAAUAGGGUGAUAACAUUGUUUUUCACUUCUUGACUUGUAAUGAGUUGUAAAAAAGUAGGAUAAUAGGAUCAAGGGGGUUUCAAAUAAGGGAUGAUAUUAUUUCAGGGUUGACUUUUUGGCUAACUGGCUAAAAAUAAAAUAAAAUAAAAACAAAAUUGCCUUUAUCAUAUCAGCGUGCACAGGUAAACAACAUCAUCAAUAAGAGUCAAUUCAAGUUCUAGAGACUAACAAACAUGAGUGAAUAACACAAGAAAAUGAGAGAUGGAUUUUUGUAUGUUAUCCAUAUAGGGCUCAAAACUCACAAGGGUUAAUGAUCUACUGCUAAAGAUGUACAAUUCAAAGUUUAUUCCUACCUAUCAUACUAAAAAUGCACAACAAAUUUUUCACAUCACACCAUAAGACUUUAGUCAAGAGAACUAAGAAAAAUACUCAUAAUUGUAACUAAAAAAACAAAAGGAAAAAGCAUGCAAUUUUUUUAUUUAAGAAAGCAAACAAAAACCAAAAACAGAGAAAAAAUGAAAACAAAACAAAUAAAUGGUUCCAUCCCCCACACUUAAAAGAUGCACUGUCUUCAAUGAAGGGACACAACUAUUAAAUAAGAGUGAGAGAAA
rnacentral:lncRNA from 1 species